GAUGGCGGCGCCCUUGAUGGGCGUGUUUUGAUUUCGGUGCCCUGUCAAACAGCCGCACAUGUAUGUAUGCUAUGUAUUUUGUAAAACGGACGCGAGGAGGAAUUGAAAGCAGAUUAUGGAGAGACGAGAAUUCGUCGCGUCCCUCGUGGCUGGAGGGUGUGCCGGAAUGUGUGUGGAUCUCACCCUUUUCCCCCUGGACACCAUUAAAACCAGACUGCAAAGCCAGCAAGGCUUCUACAGGGCCGGGGGUUUCAGGGGCAUCUAUGCAGGUGUCCCAUCUGCUGCACUUGGCUCAUUCCCUAGUGCGGCUGCCUUUUUUGUCACAUAUGACUCUGCAAAGACCCUCCUUGGCUCUGGUGGUAUCCUAAAAGAACCAUCAAUGGCUCCAGUCACACACAUGCUAGCUGCUUCUUUGGGAGAAAUGGUGGCGUGUCUCAUCAGAGUGCCCGCAGAAGUUGUGAAGCAAAGGACACAAGCGUCUCCUUCAUUCAGCACAUACCACAUGCUUGUGGCUUCACUCAAAGAAGAGGGUGUUCGAGGCUUAUACAGAGGAUUUGGAAGUACAGUUCUCCGAGAGAUUCCGUUCUCUCUGGUGCAGUUUCCACUUUGGGAAUUUUUAAAGGCUCAAUGGUCACAGAGGCAAGGUCUCACACUCCACUCUUGGCAAGCUGCACUAUGUGGAGCCUUUGCAGGUGCGGUGGCAGCACUUGUUACCACUCCUCUGGAUGUGGCGAAGACUAGGAUAAUGCUGGCGAAGGCUGGGUCAACCACCGCAAGCGGCAACAUCCCACUGGUGCUUUGUGACGUGUGGAAGAGUCAAGGGCUUACUGGAUUGUUUGCAGGCAGCAUACCGCGGAUGACCUUCAUCAGCGUGGGCGGUUUCAUUUUCCUGGGAGCCUACGAGAAAGCCCGCCGGACUUUGCUGUUGUAAGCACAACCUCAGUGUGGGACUGACUGACUGUGACCAAGACGGCGUUCGUGAACGUAGCACCCGGUGGCUUCCAAAGAGGAAUAGGCCAAUACAUACAAGGAAUACAUUAUAUACUUCUAUUGACAAGGAUAUACGUUCAAUCCAUUUCAACUGGGAGGAGACACAAUAACUUUCACUAUUAAUGGCAUCAGUGGGAACGCAUGGGAAUUAAGGGUAAUAUGAAAUGGCAUCAUGUCAAUGCAAAUAUAAGCAAUUCUUUUUAAAAAUUGGGGCACUGACAUGAUAUAAACCGAUAGUAUGUAAUCUUCUUGUUUUAGACAGAAUUACGCUGAAGCGAAUAUACUUUCCCCAACGUAACAUCCUGAUUGAGGAAACUUAACACUUUCAUGCACAAAUUAUGAAACUCUGAAUCAGGAUUCUUUUCUCGAGUGUUUUUAUAACUCUGUAGGCAUGAUCAGAAAUAAUCACCUAGCUUUCCACUGUAGUGGCCACUGUCCCCCUAAUUCCUAAUUUAAACCUGAAGAUUUAUUGCGGUGAGGUUGAAUACGUAGGUGAGAUUUGGACCCCAAAUGUCAGAACUGUGGCGCCGAGUUAUUUCCAAUUUAAAGUUUGUCAGUUAUUUUUGUUAAAUAGAAAGAUACCUGUCAUUUUAAAUGUACAGAGGCCACCAGCCUGCUAUGUAUGAGCCUUUUUCACACUAUUCAACAGGACACAGCAGAUAUACUCAAAUGAAUAUGCAAAACAUCAUUCAAGAGCAAUUACAGUAAUAUUUGGACUGUAAGCUACUUCUUUUUUCCUCCGCUUUUAACCCUGGAAAUUAUACUGUACAGCAGUAAUUCCCCAACCACCGGGCCUGGGACCAGUACCGGUCUGUGGGGCAUUAGCUACCGGGCUGUGGAGAAAUAAUAAAUCCUUUGCUAACGACCGCAGUUUGGCCUGUGCCUAAUGACACAUCAAUAUAGACCCUACUCACAUGACGUCACAACCACGCCUCCGCGCCAUAUUGUCCGUCAGCUCGUCUUGUUUACGCAUUAACGCUACGUAAAUUCCUCCUAUUAUGGCGUGUUUUUCUGCUCGUUAACAUUAAUAAUCAAAAUGCUCAAGGCGUGUGUGGCGGUUGGUUGCAGUAACAGAGAAGAUAGACGGAGAGACUUAAAGUUCUACCGUAUUCCGAGAGACCCGGAGAGGAGAGCGAGAUGGACUGCUGCACUUCGACGACAAAACUGGGCACCAAACGAUCACCACAGACUAUGUAGUAGUCAUUUUAUACCUGAUGAUGCACACCCACACCAGGGAGGUGACCACGAUGCUCGUCACCACGGCGAUGACGACAAUUCCUACUGUGACCGUGCUCAGGCCCGCCGGCGGGACGCAGGGGCCGCGGCGCCGAGUAACCAGCAACUGGCUGUGAGCGCGCUCCGUGCCCAGUGUGUUGGACAUGAGGCAAGUGUAUCGGCCGGCAUCCUCCAGGGAUGCGGCGCCAAUGACCAACAAGUGGUUUCCGGGAGUGAAGUGAUGACGAUCGGUGGGGUGCACGGGCUGGUCGUUGUGCAGCCACGUGAUUCGGGGUGGAGGGCUUCCCAACGCCUUGCACUGAAGGGCCACCGUGUCACCCACUACCACGUUACGAUCCUCAAGAUCUUGCGCCAAGUGGGGGGUUUCUGCGAAGAAAUAUACAUAGCUUGUGAAAACUCAUGAAUUUCCACAUAGUAAACUAUCUAAGAAUCAAGUCACACAGACAUUGAGGAUUUGUAUAUUCCUUCUUCAAUGAAUAAUGUUGACAUAUUUAGUUCAUAAUUAAUUGAAAAAGCAGUUUUGACAUCUUCGAGAACUAUACGUUUGUUUUCCUCUCGAAAUACAUCAACUCAUACAUUAACUCUCACCCCUGAAAAUAUUAUCUCAAGGUUUGUAUCCCAAGUUUUGUGUGAGCAUCUGUAGGUGGAACCAUCAUAAGUAGUGCUGCAACGAUUAAUCAAUUAACUCGAGUAUUCGAUUAGAAAAAAAUAUUCGAAUAAAAUGUUUAGGGCUGUCAAAAUUAUCGCGUUAAAGGGCGGUAAUUAUUUUUUAAAAUUAAUCACGUUAAAAUAUUUGACGCAAUUAAUGCACAUGCCCGCUCAAACAGAUUAAAAUGACAGCACAGUGCAAUGUCCACUUGUUACUUGUGUUUUUUGGAGUUUUGUCGCCCUCUGCUGGCGCUUGGGUGCGACUGAUUUUAUGGGCUUCAGCACUCAUGAGCAUUGUGUAAUUAUUGACAUCAACAAUGGCGGGCUACUACUUUAUUUUUUGAUUGAAAAUUUUACGUAUUAAAACGAAAAGAUUUAGAGGGGUUUUAAUGUAAAAUUUCUAUAACUUGCACUAACAUUUGUCUUUUAACAACUACAAGUCUUUCUAUCCAUGGAUCACUUUAACAGAAUGUUAAUAAUGUUAAUGCCAUCUUGUUAUUCAUUGUAAACAAAUAUAAUAAACAAAUACAGUACUUAUGUACCGUAUGUUGAAUGUAUAUAUCCAUCUUGUCUUAUCUUUCCAUUCCAACAAUAAUUUACAGAAAAAUUUGGCAUAUAAACAUAUAGUUGGUUUGAAUUGCGUUUGAAUUGCGAUUAAUUACGAUUAAUUAAUUUUUAAGCUGUAAUUAACUCGAUUAAAAAUGUUAUUUGUUUGACAGCCCUGAAAAUUUUAUUGCUUCGAGUAUUUGUUUAAUUAAAGUGGCGUUGUAAUAGUUUAUUUUGAAAGUGUUUGCAUUUAGUUUUAUUGAUAAGGGUGGAUACACUGCCUUCUGGUCUGCCUCAUUUCACAUGACUGAAUCCAACUGCUCCCUGUUAAGACCAACAUAAGUUUGUGUUUGAGCUAAUGUUUUCUAAUGCAUUCGUAAUUUCGUUUAUAGAUAUAGUUAGCCGUUUUUUGUGGGAAUAUGUGUUUGAACCUUUUGUUAAGAGCAUUGUAAAAAACAAAAUGUUAGCAUUUUAUAGCAUUUAAGCUAGCAGACCUUUGCUAUGUAAGUUAGCCAAUUCUGUUCUACAUAGAUCAUUAAAAAAAUAAAAUAAAAUUAUACGGUUUGAGGCUCAGCUCAGGUAUUUUAAUUUUUCAUGUUCCUUACCCGAUUACUCGAUUUUUCGAACUAACUAGUUCAUCGAUUAAUCGCCUACUAAAAUAAUCGAUAGCUGCAGCCCUAAUCAUAAGCAAUGUGAAAACUGCUAAAAAGGUGCCAUCUUUAUAGAUAUUUGCUGCUUAAGUGUUUAAAAUUAGGGUAAAAGUAUUUAAAUAAAGCUUGUUUGAAAGACCAUCUUUUUUGGCUAUUAUGAUCUUUUGUUAAUUAAGUUUGAAUAUAUCAUAAUUGAUAACGUUACAGUUCCAGAAAGGUUGUCAAAAGCACAAAAAAUAAAAAGGCCAUCUGAAAAUCUCAUUUUUCAGUGCAACAGCUCACAAAAGGCAAAACGUGUCACUUUUUCUAAUUCCGAUUGCCAACUGAGAAUGGAAAGAACAGAUGACAAUACACAAAUAAUGUGAGGGAAAAAAAACUGACAUCAGUGAACAUCUUCAGGAUACGUUUUUAUCUACCACGAAGAGGAUUUCUCCAGGGACAAAGGCCCCCAGAGAACAAUCAUUCUAGUGUUUCCCCAGCAACUACACAUACUAGUGAAUGCAACACAAUACUCUGUGCGUGUGUGUGCUUGUGUCUAUCUCCGCACACUGAGAACUUCCCCUCACAGUGGGAAAUACAGAUUAAGAGAUCUCACUUAACCCACUUCAGUGGUCAGUCUCUCCGCUAUCAAUCUUCUCUCACUCUCUCCGCUCCACCAUCCAUACCUUCACGCCCCCUGCCCGCCACACACUCCUCCUUUCCCUGCUCAUCUCGGGAUCCCAUUUUUCUCGCCAACAUUUUUCCAGACAGGGGCCCCUCCAAGGCCGCCAAAAUCCCCUCCGUACCCACCCCCUUCUUUUCAAACCCAAACAUCACAGAUUCAGUCUAUCAGCAUAGCCGCUUGCUUCUAUAUUUUGCUUCGUUGAGAGGAUUAGUCUUCAGUCGCCACAGCCUCAAGUACAUUCCUAACGGCAAAGCACCACCAAGACCUUUUUGGAGGGCAACCUGAUGAAAACAAUUGCCCAUUUAUUCUUUUCAUCAAGAGAAGACCAUGGAUAAGGAUGAUCUUAGUCGGCUCGCUUUGGUUUGAACCAACGGCCGAUAAACUGAGAGCACUCAGGCCUGCAGUGAAGCAGCCAUGACUGGUCUCCCCCACAGAGAGUGGAGGUGUAGUGGUGGGGGUUGUUUGGGAAUGUCUAACAAACAUCCCUCUGUGAGUUGCUCUUGCUCCCCCAACAAUCCCCUUUGACCCUAAACGCUGGCCUUUGACCCCUGACCCAACGCAAGGCCACAGCUGCUGAGGAAAGGAAAAAUAUAAAGCUGGCCAUUCUACCGCUUCCCACAUGAGAGCUGAGCUAUUUACAAGACGCUGCCUUUGGAGAUGUGGGAAAACUAUCAGAGCCAACAUGAACUCAUUGGCUGCCAUUGACUGCGUUAGAUGUCCAAUUCAUUUUGACUGGAAGGGUUGGCAGCGACCGUAUGCUGGCAGCACUGAAACAUGAGCAUUCUCACCCAGCCAGUCAUCAUGAACAUUAUGCUCAUGUUGCUGCUCAUAUUAUUUCAUGCCUCCUCCCAGUUCAAAUGGCACUGAAACAUUAACACAUGAUUAUUCACUGCCAGUCCUCCCUGUUCAAAUGAAUAGGACAUAUACCGCUGUCAAUGGCAGUGAACAAAUUACAAAAAAAUGCUCUGAGAUUCCGGGGGUAAAAAGAGUAAUGUACUCGAGGAUUGAGUCAAAGGGAUCCAUGGAUAGAAAGACUUGUAGUUCUUAAAAAAUAAACAUUAUUAUGAGUUGAAAUAAUUUGAUAAUGAAAACCCUCUUGAUGUUUUUGUUUUUAUACAAUUUCUUAAAUUAGUUUAACUAGUAAGUCACCAUUGUUGUUGACGUCAUAGGGCGGUGACUAGGGCAUUGAGCAUCGAUAGGAACCAGUUCUAACACUCCGGUUCUCCCGGAAGCGUUUGAAUUUUUAAAUACUGUACUGCGAUACUUCAACUAUGGCAACAUAUUACCUUUUAAAAUUUAUAAAAACACAUAGACAUGUACCUCCAUUUAAACUAAAUCCCAUUUUACAAUAUAUAGUUAAAAAAAAAAAAAAAAAGUUUUAAACAUGUUACUGCCCCACUGAAAUAUUUUUAAACAAGGAUAACGAAGAAAAAUACUUGUCUUUAUUAAAUACUUCAGUGAGUCAAUCCACACACGCUGUUGAGAACACACACACACACACACACACACACACAAUAAAUGUCCACUCACACAACCGCUAACAAGCUCAACAAUGUGUCAAUCAUCAUUGAGCUUGUUAAACAGCUUCUUUUAAGUAUAGCGCUCCCAGGCUUCUCUGGCAACAUCAAAGCCUGAACAGCUGUCACUCAUUGUUAACUUUAACAAGCAAUCUCAUAGCGCACUGUAACCAAGAAAAGCAGCAGGACAGAGAGACAUCUCUAGUUUGUUGGCUUGUGGCAGCACAUUAGACGUAUCUAAAGCAGUGGUCUCCAAACUAUUCCACAUAGGGCCGCAGUGGGCUCAGGAUUUCAUUCCAACAAAACAAGACAACACCUAUGCACCAAUCUGGUGUCUUACUAGUGAAAUCAAUUGAUUGCAGUCAGGUGCUGCUUGUUUUAGCAGAAACUUUAUUGGUUAAACUGUCGAUCGGUUGGAACAAAAACCAGGACCCAGAGCGGCCCUUAAGGACCUGUUUGGAGACCCCUGAUCUAAAGAGUCCAUAUUCAUAAAAAACUAUCAAUAUACAGAUCGUGAUAUAUCGCCAAACGAUAUUUUUUCCCAGCUCUAAUAGAUAGUUUGAAUAUUUAAUGCAGUCGAUCUUUGAGAACCACUGAUUUAGGCUCAAGUCCUAGCUAGGCCAAAACAUGAGCAGGAACUAAUUGAUAGCUUCUUACCAAGUACAGUCAGCGUGGCGUUAGCAGACACAGUUCCCGCUGUGUUUUUGGCCGUGCAGCUGUAGACACCCAUGUCUUCCGACUUGACAUCCAUGAUGAAAAACACGUCAUCGUGAGGCAUAACGUGCAUUCGGCGCUCGCGGGCGGCAGGGAAGUCCGUGCCGCCAUCCUUCUGCCAGGCGAUCUGCGGAGCUGGGUGGCCCUCGGCGGCGCACUCCAGCCUGGCGUUGUGGCCCGUCCUGAUGGUGCUGUCCCUGGGAGUCUUCACAAAGGAUGGAAGCACUGUGGACAACGCAGACCAAAAAGCUUCAAUCAAAACCAAUAGAGACAGAAUUAUACUCCAGGGAGCUUUCAAACACCAAGAUGACUGCAGAAUUAAGAGCAAUGCGCCAGGCUAAGAGAAAAGGCAGAGAAGAUAGAGCGGCAAAGAGAUGGCUUCUGUCAUGGAGUUGAAUCAAUUGGUUACAAAUAGCAAGACAAAGAAGAGUUUUGUUCAAGUGAAAAAGGAAAAAAUGAACUUAAUUGCUCUCGCUCGAACGGAACAAUUGAUAAGCAGAUAAGUGAAAUGUCAACAGGCGUUUUAUUUAGUGGAAGUAAUGCGAUCACACACAUAUUAACAGAUAACUGAUGGGUUUUGCUCUAAAGCUUUGUCAUUAAAGAAAAUGAAAGAAAAAAAACAAAACACUAUUUACUAGAGAUGUCCCGAUCGAUCGGGAUGCCGAUCAUGGGUCCGAUCACGUCAUUUUCAAAGUAUCGGAAUCGGCAAAAAAAUAUCGGCCAUGCCUUUUUUUAAAUAUAUACCGUAUAUAUCAGGGGUCGUGUUAACCGAAUAUUUUCCGUCAUUGACCGAUUUUUUAAAACGGUGACGGAAAAAACUGAAGUCCAUCCGUCAUUUUGACCGGUUGCAAUUCACACCCCAGACCACAGGGUGGCGAGUGAGCUUAUUAAUUAGCUAUUGUCUCUCUUGAUGCAUGACGUCGUUGGCCUUACUCUGAAAAAUGUCAAGGCAACUGAGUGUCCGAAGUUUCCUCAAAAAGCCCCAAAACGACGAUGGUGUUGAUAAAAGAGGUGAAAAAACAGGGACUGCACAAGCGGGCACGCAAUUCAAGUCCAUGCGCACCAGGAGGAAAGUGUGAGACUACGUUCAGGCCACAGCAGGUGAACUGUUAAUUUCAUUGUUCCAUAUGCUACAUAUGGUAGGCUACCUAACUACUGGGGCCACAGUCAGCUGUUUUUGUCACUGCGGAGAAAAAGUUACAUAUUCAUCUGCUUGAUGUGUGAUGGCACGGUGUGGAUUCUCUGUUAAGCUUGUUCGGACAGAAUAUUAAUUUAAAAUGAAUGAAAACUAAAUACUAUUGAAUAUGCUGAAGCGGUAUGCAAUGUUAAGAGUCUUGUUAGCUGUAGGCGCACUAUCCUAGACCCCUCACUAUCCACUCGCGGGGGCCUGCGCUUGUCAGUGACGUUCCUUAUUCUCGCUAUAUGAUUAUACAACUUUAACAUUUGUUAAUAAUACGCUCUGUGUGUAGUAUCAUCCAUCGCUUUUCCUUUUUAAAUGGGCACUUAUAAGCGAACGCAAGAAGUAACAACGGGAACAUUUUUAAACAGGCAUUUCACGGGGGAGCAUUUCGACUCUUCGGCCAAUCAUAUAGCGAGAGCGAGUGGAUAGAGAGGGGACCGCGCGCGGCUCUUAAGUGUCUCUGUCACGUGACUGUCGUAGCCGGUAACGCGCUCGGCCAAAUGGACACACAAGUACGGAAGGUGAAUUAUGCCAAACAAAGGGUCACCACAAUGUCAUUAUCAUCAUUUUAAAAAAUUAAGUGACGGGUAAAAAUAGAUUAUGACCGGAUUUUUAUGACCCUGUCAGUCAAAAUGACAGACAACGAAAAAGUCUAGCGCAACCUCUGGUAUAUAUAUAUAUAUAUUUUUUUAAUUAAAUCGUUUUCAAAUUGUAUUUAACGUUACAGACAUAAUAUGUUACACUCAUCCAGAGUCUUUAGUUUAGGCUUAAGGUAAGGUUAUCAAAUUUAUCCCGAUAACGGAGGUAAUUAAUUUUUUAAAAAAUGUAUCACGUUAAAAUAUUAAACGCAAUUAAUGCAUGCGCUGCACGACCUACUCACACAUUGUCACACUCAAUCAGUAUUGGCACCGUUUUACCUAUAUAGAGAGAUGAAAGGCUGCACAUAAUGAGUAGAGUGAAUUUUGGCAGCCUUUGGAGCCUUUUUUUAAAUGGCUAAAGCCUUACAAUCCCUCUCCCUACUAUUAGAAAUAUCAUGGGAAGCAAUGUGGGGAAGAAAGGUAGUAAUUGAUCUUUUUCUUAUCACCUUAUGUUAUUUCCCAACGCAGAGAAGAUAUAUCAAUUGGUAGCACUACGCACAGUCAUGGUUCCACUUCCCAUCAUGCAUUUGGGCUAGGGCUGCAGCUAUCGAAUAUUUUAGUAAUCGAGUAAUCGACUGAAAAUUCUAUCGAUUAAUCGAGUAAUCGGAUAAAACAAAUAUAUUUUUAGGUGAAGAGCAAUUAUAGAUAUACAUGAGAAAACAAGACAUUUUAUCAUUUUCAGUCAAUCAAUGUCUUUAUUUUUGAUGUAUAUUGUUAAAAACAGCCAACAAUUGUAUCUCAGAUGUAACUAGAAUUUUAAAAAAUGACUA